GUAAACAAAGGAAGGUUUUUUAAUUUGCCAUGUAACAAACAGUAAUUCUUCUACACAGUCAUUAAUAUGAAGAGAAAAUCAGUUUGUGCAAAUGGGGAUUUAAAAUUUCUAAGUACUGUUCAAAGCAAGUGCUUUAUUUAUAUUUAGUCUGUAUGUUUUGGGGCAGCAAUUCUAGGACAAAUAUUGCCUGUAUGUAUACAGUUACCAGUGCUUCUGAGCCAGUUCUAGAGGCGUAUCAUCCGACUGGAGAUGAAAGGCACAAACUUAAGGAAUCUCUGAUUUCUUUUCCAGAUACUUUCUACUGUGCAUGAACGUUUUGCUUUGGGCAGUAUAUCAUCCAUAUAAUGCUGCCAGAAAAAACAAGCCUUUUAUGCUUGAGGAGGCUUGAGAUGUUUUCUUGCCAGUUGCGAGUCCUACUUCUCAAAGUAAAAGAGAGCAAGUAAUGUCUGUGAAAAAAGUUUUCUUGACAGACGGCAUGCAGGCAGCUCUCCUGUGCUCUGCCAAUCCGUGGUUGCUAGUGACGUUGCAGACAGAAGCAGGCAUGGCAGGAGGGAGCAUGAGCUUUCCAGUGGAACAUGUGACGGUGGAGAUCUGCUUCAGGAGUCUCAACUGGGGCAUCUCUGAACUGGAUUGGACAAUCUUGAUGACUCAAGUUGUUUAGAGAACAGGAAUUCAUGUGUGUGAGUUGCUGGUUUUGUGUGUCUUGUUUGAAGUAUCUGAAAUUAUGUGGAACUGUACUGCAGCCUGUGAGAACGGUGCUUUCCUAGCGUGACAGCAAGGAUGAGAAAGAAAAAUCACCUCCAGAGAACAGCUUAUGUGACACGUUCUAGACAAUAAAACCUUGAAAUAAGAUCAACUGCCUCAUGGCUAACUAGAGGAAGUGAAGGAACUUUCUCUUCACUAGGACAUCAAGAUACAUUGAACUGGGAUUUAAACGGUCUGAAUUGAGGACAAACAGCUUUCCAAUGGCAGGCAGCAAGCACAGCCCGAAAAGACCUUUACCGAGACAUUAAAAAAAAAAAAGUAAAAUCAGUGAGAUGUCCCCAACUGUAUACUACUUAGAGCAAUGAGCCUAGUAAGGUCUGGAACAGCUAGUAACUACUAGAUACGAAGCAAACAGCUGAGCACCUAAAACUGUAUGCAAAGACACCAGAGCCCACUUAACACUCUCAAUUCCAAGCAACUGAAGUUUUCAAUUGCAAAGAACAGGAGCAGCAGCAAACAGAAAUCCCGAACUAACUUUCAAAUGGACUGUUCUUUUGUGUAGAAGUGAGACAAGAACCAAAUGGAUGGAUUUUUUUAUUCCAAGUUUGCAGUGAAGAGAAACAGGUAAAGACAGCUGUAUGGAGGUGUUUCAGACCUGGUGCGUCAGGACAGCGUGGAAUUACUGCGAGAGCAGAAUUUCAAUCAGGUCAUGCUUCAGAUCACCCAAGAGAAAGAUCCAGUGAGAGAGAACAUAGAAAGACUGACAGUGGCAGCGUAAUGCAGGGAAAGAUUCUAAAAUGCCGGGUUUGUGAAUUAAUGUAAUAACAAAAUGGCAGAGGGUACAUGUAGUGAACACGUGUGUUUUAAGCUCAGUUUCCAGUAACUGGUCAGAAGAGGAAGUACUUUAAAGGACAGCUGUCUAGCACGUCAUAGAUUUUCAGCCCUCAAAGUUCCUGAAAAGUAUCCAAAAAUGUCUGGGAAACAUUGAGAAAUCCAGCAUUUCUACAGUGAUUGCGGAUGUUUGAUCAUAAACAGGGUUUGACAGACAAGAACAGACAAAUGUCCUAACAGGAGGUUUCUGUAAAGCCAAAUGUCUUAGUAGUAUUAGGCAGCACUAAGCAAAAGUAUCAGGGAGAAAGAGGGGGGAAAAUAAUUGGAAGUUUAUAUUAAUCCAAGGUUAUCUUUUCUUACACUGGAGUAAAGUCAAACGGUGACAAAUUAGGUCUCAGCUUUCCAAAAAAAUAAAGGGGGCUCCAUUUUAAUGCAGUGGAACAUAACAACAAUGCUAAACAUGAGAUGUGAGGUUCUCACUUACGGACUGGUGUCAGUAGCAGGCACCAUUAACUGAUGAGAAUACUAAAAAUCAUCAUACUACAAGUUACUAAAAACUAUUUUAAAAGUUAUAUUCUAGGCAGAAAAAAAAACUACUGUCAUGCGAUUGAACAUGCGGAGUAAGCAGCGAUCCUUUUCAUAGACACAACAGACAUUCAUUCCUUCAUGAUAGCACGCUUGUUAUCACACGAGCAACACGUCACAGAAUACGGAGCAGAAGUCACUUGACUGGUGUAGGCUUCAGCACAGACUCAGAUAUCUUACAAGCACAACAGGGAGAAUAAGCAAAACAAUUUCAUGCUCUGCUGUGAUAAACCGUUACCAGCUAACUGGCAUUUGGAUUUAAAAAUGCAGAUUUAAAUUUUUUUAAAAAACUUAAGACUAGCAGUCUUGUUACAUGCAUCCAACAUUACUUUUUUUCCAAAAUUAAAGGAAAUUCGAGGAAAAAAGGUGGUUUAGUAAUCACUUUAGAAAAGUCAGUGUCCUUUGUAUCAACAAGGACUGGGAUUAGAGACUUCACACAGUACUCCACUUCUAGCAAAAUGUGUAGGUAACACAUGCGGGCAAAAUGCCGCUAGACUAACACAAGCAACAACAACCUUCCCAUCUUACGCAAGUCACUUUGGAAAGGAAAUACAAUCAAAAUGUGUGACGUAUAUGGGAUAAUUAUUUUCGGAUUAUU